rnacentral:rRNA from 1 species
AACGAACGCUGGCGGCAUGCCUAACACAUGCAAGUCGAACGAGACCUUCGGGUCUAGUGGCGCACGGGUGCGUAACACGUGGGAAUCUGCCCUUUGCUUCGGAAUAACAGUUAGAAAUGACUGCUAAUACCGGAUGAUUUCGAAAGACCAAAGAUUUAUCGGCAAAGGAUGAGCCCGCGUAGGAUUAGGUAGUUGGUGGGGUAAAGGCCUACCAAGCCGACGAUCCUUAGCUGGUCUGAGAGGAUGAUCAGCCACACUGGGACUGAGACACGGCCCAGACUCCUACGGGAGGCAGCAGUGGGGAAUAUUGGACAAUGGGCGAAAGCCUGAUCCAGCAAUGCCGCGUGAGUGAUGAAGGCCUUAGGGUUGUAAAGCUCUUUUACCAGGGAUGAUAAUGACAGUACCGGGAGAAUAAGCUCCGGCUAACUCCGU